rnacentral:lncRNA from 1 species
AGAACACCUUCCGGUCCAGCUGAACUCCUGGCCCAGGGUGAUUCACUGUCCUCACAGGAAUCCGGAACAUCUGAUCUCCCUCCAAAAGCAAAAUUCAGGAAGUCAGACCGACCCCUAAAGAGGCCGGGUGGGACUGUACUGCUACUGGCUUCCUAGUCUUCUCCAUGAUCCUACAGCCCCGUCCGUAAUCCCACGAAAUGCUCCAGGUCACUACUUACCGGGUUCUCUCUUCCACCAAGCUGAGAGGGUAGAGUCCAUUUUUAAACCGAUGCUGUCACUGGCCUCUAGCCAAACACCUCCAUUCUGGACCUACAAUGGCUGCUACAUUUUGCCAAAACCCUGAAGUACCCUGAGUCAGUCACAUGUGUGCCUAUUUGCAUAUCUCAGUCAGAUAGAAGCUCCCAGAAUUUCACGUGGCUUACUGUGGCUACUUUGUGUCAUUACAUUUUUUUCAUCAUAAAUUUUACCAAAAGAAGUGUGAUGUAGCAUAAGGCAUAAAAACAGAGGGGGAAAAAAAGCCAGCCAGUUUCUUCCUUCUGCAUAUUAAGGCAAUCUUAGGAGCCACAAAACAAAUUCUCAUGGUUCGAUAAUAAUGUAGCUUUUCAACAUCUGAAUUCCAAAGUAUGGAAUUCCGGAGAGCCUUCAGAAGUUUUCUUGAUGUGAUUUAGUUGCAAUUUCUGUAAUCGGAGUUCUCAGAACCUCAACGUAUCUUUAUAUGUUGAAAACAACCCCAUCUAUCGAGUCUUCUUUCCUUGCCUUUCUUCCUAACUCAGUUGGGUAUGGAGGGCGGUAGGGGAGGCUGCCCCUUCCCCAGAGCACACAGGGUAAGAGCUGCUUGAUUGUCCUAGCACUUCCUAACCAGGGAUGCCAACCCGCACAGCCACUUCAUGUGGGAGGCACUAUCACUGUCCACAUCUGAGGAAUGACAAGCUAGACUCAGAAAUCUAGUAGACUGACCAGCCAUCUGGAUCCAGAACCUCUCCCCCUCAGCCGCUAAGUGACAGUGUGACUUGAUGGGAUCUUAGGCUACUUAGUAAUUAGGAACUUGAUAUUCCCCGCUAAGGGCAAUGGAUUUCAUUCCCCGUGAGUGAGUCAUUCUAUGGGAAUGGAAAGACUGGCUCACUGAGCGCCCUUCCCACCUCAACUCUUCCUUCUCAACACUCCACCUGUGUGUGUCCGUUGUAAGGUCUGAAACACUGACCAUCGACAAGCCACGGGUCACCUGACGCCCUGAGUGCAAUGUGCAAGCAGUGUCUGUGGAGGCCAGAAAAGGAUACUGAAUGGAACUGUAAUUACAGAUGCUUGAGAGCCACCAUAUGGAUGCUGGCAAUCAAACCCGAACCAUCUGCAAGAGCAGCCAGUGUUCUUCAUCACCGAGCAAUCUCUCCAGCCCUCAAGCUCUUUACACCUAUCUUAAUUCCUUUAGGAGAAGCAGUUAAAGAAAUGGAUGCUUAACGUUUACUUACUUCACAUUUCAUAAUUUAAAAAUGUUAAACAGGAUGCUAACAAAACAUGGACCAUACAACAAUCGUAUUUCAGGCUUUGAGCCUUACACUGGAUCAAGGCAAAAGUCUGCUGCCUUGAAAAUGGGUGUGUGAAGAGCCCAGAGGGCCAGAACGUGAAGUUUCUAGAAGUAUCUAUGGAUUUGCAGAUAAACCUCAGGAUUGAGCAUAACUGGGACAUCAGAUUAUUAACUAAGUUCCAAGGCAAGGGUGCAAAAGGAAUUCUGUAAAUCUAUUUGCUUAACAGUCAAAUUAUAGAAAACUAGAGAAAGUUAUAAGCCCAAGUGAGAACACUGAUGAUCAGGUAUAGAUGUCACCGAGUUAAAACCACCCAACCCCUGGGCAGAUGCUUCCCUCCCCAUUUCUCUGGUGUAAAUGCUAAAUCACUAUUCAGGAGUCUGCAAGGUGACAUAUUUUAAAGUAAGAGCUUACAGAGUUCAGGUACCUGUAUAUCUACACCAAGACCUGGGCAGAGCUACACCAGGCCACCAACACAGUUACACCAGGCCAUCACCACAGUUAAGCCAGGACAUCAUCACAGUGACACUGGGACUUCCUGACUCCCAAGUCCACAUUGAUCUUUCUAAAAAUUCCGGUUUCCCCUUUCAACACUUUAGAGGUCCCUCACACUUCAGAGAUUUCUAGGGCAUGGACAGGAUACACUGCACAUUUUAUUUCUUAGACAGCAAAGGUAAGUCAAACGAAAGCAAUGAUUGCCCCUGUGCUGUGGCCAAAUAAGUCAGUCCAUAAUUAAAAGUGUGUAACACAAUAUUUGCUAUUAAUAAUAUUAUCAGUUUGUUAAACAGAUUAUCAGAUUUUUUUUUUCAACAACACAGCUAGCUAAACACGACACUUUCUGUCCAGCCAAACUGGGUGUGUGUAUCUGGGCCAGAAUUAUGUACCCAUCCAAUGAACACUGUCACACUGAGAAAAGACAGUGUCACAGAAUCUGGAGACAUCUUCUUUUGAACAUGAUGUGCCAGGGACAACUUCACAUGGAAGUAAGGUAAGUUCUAGAACUCAAAUCAGUAAGAAACUGCUACCUAGAAGGAAAUGCAGAAACUGAGCAGGUCGAACACAGAAUAAGAGUUCUUGAUCACAAAGGCAGUAAGGGGAGAAUUGGGUGUGAGGAAUUAAAAAGCUAAUGCCAAGGGCUUUAAUGUCCUCCUCCAUGAAUUCAGGCAUGAAGCAUACAAACUUGACAAGAUCCUUAAAAGAUUUUUUUUUUAAACGGAAGGAAUUCAUAUUAAGGGAAUAGCAUUGAGCAUGUGGUAAAGAUCGUAUGUACCUGGUAAAUGAAUCAAAUCAAUAUAAAGAGCCCCAAGACAGUUUACUCCUAAACUCUUACAAAAUGACUACAAUUUGGGCUCUCAGCUCUUCUGUUUCUAUUGGGGGGAGAAACAGGUUUUCAAACUCAGAGAGAGAGAGAUGGUUGGAGAUGUGUAACUAUCUUUACACUUAGGUUUAACACGUUUGCUGCAGCUCUCCACACAAGAGGUAUUGAGCAGCAGUGAAGGCCAGCCAGGUCGCCAUUGUUGAGGCACCGUCACAGGUCCAGUUCUCAUUUUGAUGAGUGAGAGCCGAGGGCACGUCAUACUCAGCACUACACAGAAAAACCUGCCCAUCUCCACCCCCAUUCUCACUGCCGUCUUCCUGCACAGGCAGAGCAGGAGGAGGCGGUGCUAGAUUGGAGGGACAAAUCCUCUAAGAUGGGGAGAUGACUGAAAUACAGCCAGGGGAAAAACGCUCAGAGCCUUGAUGCAGUGGGGUGCCCUGGACCCUGAUCUAAUGGAUCUGGAAGCCUCCUGCUGGAAGAGAAGUGUCUCAGGAUUAUACAACUCAGAAGCCCAUUCCUACUGUCCUAAGCUCUUGUGCUUAAAACAGACUUUACUGUAAACGAGGUGACCACUGAGCUUUCUGUAAAUGCCUUUCUGUAAUCAUUAGAGAAAAAACAAACAAAAACUCAGCUUUUAAAAAGGGGUCUGUGUUAGCUAGUUUUUACAUCAAGUUGACACAAGAUAGAAUCAUUUUGGUGUGACCGGACUGAGGGCAAGCCUGUGGUGCGUGUUUUAAAAGUGAUGACUGAUGUGAGACCCUGGGCUGGUGGUCCUGGGUUCUGUGACAAAACAGGCUGACAAAGCCAUGGGGAGCAAACCGGUACACAGCACACCUCCAUGGCCUCUACAUCAGCUCCUGCCUCCAGGUUCCUGCCCUGUUGGGAGUUCCUGCCCUGACUUCCUUAAGCAAUGGAGGGUGACCUGGGAGCUGUAAACUGAAAUACAUCCAACUGAAACAUGGAGUGUCUUCCCUCAGACAUCCCCAAACUGUCUAUGGACACCAUGAUGUGUUGAAACCCCAUGACUACUUCACAGAGUCGGAGGGUUUCUCUGUAUUGCUUUGGAGGUUGUCUUGGAACUCCUUCUGUAGACCAGACUGGCCUUGAACUCACAGAGAUCCGCCUGCCUCUGCCUCCCAAGUUCUGAAAUUAAAGGUGUGCACCACCAACACCCAGCUUCAAUACUCUAUAUUAUUGGGGAUGCCAUGUGAAACAACAAAACACUGUUCUAGUCACCAGGUAAAGUCUAAAACCAACAUCACCGAACUCUGGGGAG